CCUACGGGUGGCAGCAGUGAGGAAUAUUGGUCAAUGGACGCAAGUCUGAACCAGCAAUGCCGCGUGCAGGAAGACGGCUCUAUGAUUUGUAACCUGCUUUUGGACGGGCGUAAACGCAGAUACGUGUAUCUGUCUGAAAGUAUAGUACGAAUAAGGAUCGGCUAACUCUGGGCCAGCAGCCGCGGUAAUCCGGAGGAUGCAAGCGUUAACCGGAUUUAUGGGGUUUAAUGGUUGAGUAGGGGGUAGGAUAAGUUAGAGGUGAAAUCCCGGGGCUCAACUUCGGACUUGCAUUUGAUACUGUUCGGCGUGAGAGUAGGUGCGGUAGGCGGAAUGGAUGGUGUAGCGGUGAAAUGCGUAGAGAU
rnacentral:rRNA from 1 species